rnacentral:rRNA from 1 species
GUAUUAAGGUCCUGCCUGCCCAGUGAAAUACUUUAAACGGCCGCGGUAUUCUAACCGUGCAAAGGUAGCGUAAUCAUUUGUCUUCUAAAUAAAGACCAGUAUGAACGGCUAAAUGAGGAUAAGCCUGUCUCCUGUGGCCAAUCAGUGAAACUGAUCUUUCAGUCCAAAAGCUGAAAUAUCAACAUAAGACGAGAAGACCCUGUGGAGCUUAAAACCCCUUGCUAAUAAGGUGACCAUAGCCGCCUAGCAAAAAGUUUUAAGUUGGGGCGACUUCGGAACAAAAUAAAACUUCCGAGCACAGAACCACUCCUUCUAACCAAGGCAAACAGGCCAAAGCAAGUAUUGACCCAGUCACACUGACCAACGAACCAAGUUACCCCAGGGAUAACAGCGCCAUCUUCUUCAAGAGUCCAUAUCGACAAGAAGGUUUACGACCUCGAUGUUGGAUCAGGGCACCCCAAUGGUGCAGCCGCUAUUAAAGGUUCGUUUGUUCAACGAUUA